GUGCCAGCCGCCGCGGUAAUACGGAGGAUCCGAGCGUUAUCCGGAUUUAUUGGGUUUAAAGGGUGCGUAGGCGGGUUAUUAAGUCAGUGGUGAAAGUUUGACGCUCAACGUUAAAAUUGCCAUUGAUACUGAUAGUCUUGAGUACAGUUGAGGUAGGCGGAAUGUGGUGUGUAGCGGUGAAAUGCAUAGAUAUACCACAGAACACCGAUUGCGAAGGCAGCUUACUAAAGUGUCACUGACGCUGAUGCACGAAAGUGUGGGGAUCAAACAGGAUUAGAUACCCCGGUAGUCC
rnacentral:rRNA from 1 species